rnacentral:rRNA from 1 species
GACAGAGGUGCCGAGCGUUAGGCGGAAUCACUGGGCUUAAAGCGUGUGUAGGCGGGUCGUUAAGUGCCUUGUGAAAUCCCACAGCUCACCUGUGGAACUGCUUGGCAUACUGGCGAUCUUGAGCCACUUAGGGGCAACCGGAACAAACGGUGGAGCGGUGAAAUGCGUAGAUAUCGUAGGGAAGGCCGGUGGCGAAAGCGAGCCUCUGGACAGUUACUGACGCUGAUGCACGAAGGCCAGGGGAGCAAACGGG